UACAGAGGUGGCAAGCGUUGUUCGGAAUUACUGGGCGUAAAGGGUGCGUAGGCGGGUCUUUAAGUCAGAGGUGAAAUCCUGGAGCUCAACUCCAGAACUGCCUUUGAUACUGAGGAUCUUGAGUACGGGAGAGGUGAGUGGAACUGCGAGUGUAGAGGUGAAAUUCGUAGAUAUUCGCAAGAACACCAGUGGCGAAGGCGGCUCACUGGCCCGUAACUGACGCUGAGGCACGAAAGCGUGGGGAGCAAACAGG
rnacentral:rRNA from 1 species